AGUAAAAUAAGCUAAUUUUAAGCUAUUGGGCUCAUACCCCAAAAAUGAGGAAACCUCUUUUACUA
rnacentral:tRNA from 1 species